UAAAAAACUUCCCAAUUCGACUACUCGACGAUCUUUUAUAUUCUGCCCUACGGGGAAGGAUGAGAAGCUUCGACUAAGGUUCGACUCGAGCGUAGCGAGAGAACGUUGCCGCAGGCAACGGCCCGAAGGGCGAGGCGCUUUAGCGCCGAGUCAUCCUUCCCCCACCACCA
rnacentral:misc_RNA from 1 species